UCCUCCCUUAUUAUCUCUCUUAAUUUUUUUCUUAUUGAAAAAAUUGAUAUUCUUCGUUCAAUAUAUCGAUACAGUGUACACGCGAUAUACAUAGAUAUCGUAUCCAACUCGAAGAGAUACUAAUAUUCUUUGAAUAAGAUGGAAUGAAAAAAAAAAAUAAAUAAAUAAAGCAAAAGUAUCGAGAGAUAUUUCCAAAUAUCGAACGUCAAACAAGAUAAAAAAGGAAAAAGGAAUGCACGCCACGAUUUUCCCACGUCCAAACUUCCGCUCCAUCUAUAUCGUUAUCUACAACUACUUGAACAAACUCGGGACGAAAACUCGGGCAGGCCUGACGUGAACGAUAACGAUCGUCUGUUGACUCUCGAAAGAAUAUCGAUCAUCCAUCCUCCGAAGCUCGUCGAUUAUCUCCUCGAAUGAAUAUUUGCAAAACGUCUCCUCAGAGAUAGAAAACCGUGAAGAUUCGAAGGUUCUUUUUCCCGAGGAUAGAGAGGUUAGAAAAUUCGUUUGUUUCUCUGCCUGUUUAAACUGACACGGAAAUGGUAAAUAUUGCCUGUGCGAAACGUGGUUUGCGCUUCGCUUGGAAGAUUCCUCCUCGGUAUCGUCACGAAGAAUAGAGAGUAGCUUUAACGAAAUGAGAAGAGAUAAUAGAAUUCUUCUGUAAAAAAAAUCGUUAUGAUGAAUUUCGAUGAAAUGGAAAUUAUUUCUAUCGAUUUAUCUAAUUUAUCUGUUGUAAAUAGAACACAAGAAGAGAAACGAUUCUUCGUUUAUUCGUUUUCUUUAACUUUCUGGAAUCCUUAAGGAGAUGGAAGAUUGUUGUACGAAUGUGGAAUAAAUAAAUGAUAAUCGAUGAUUGAACAAGAGUUGUUCUUUAAGAGGGUUGAAAAACAAAAAAGGAACAAGUUGAACGGAGGAAGUAAAAUUUAUAACACGAAGAAAAUCGUUAUUUACGGUCUCCUUAAGUGGAUCGUUAGUCCGUGAUCCGAUUUAGCAAGAACAACCGGUCCUCCUCGCUGGAUCGGCCCGAUCAUCUGAACAAAUACGAGACACAUGCUCAAAUAGAAUAUUCGCUGCUUUGUUGUCGUCGAUAAGCUGCUUAACACCGUUGGAUCACCAUACAGCCAUACUAGCAUUAAUUACUCGUUCCAUUGUAAAUGAAUUUUUUUUUAAAACGUGAAAACAUUCUGCAUAAAAUUGUAUUUAAAAAUACGCAUUUUUUCAUAGAGUAUGGUAUGUACAAAUUUUGGAAAUUUUAUAAAUAAGAAUUUUCGAAAGUAAUUCGAAAGUGGAAAGUAUUUUUUUUUUUUACAAAUGGAUACCCUUCAGCGUAAUUUUCACUCUUAACACCGCUUGCGAAAAAAAUAUAUUCUCCAAUUCUACUCUCGACUGAGCAUGCGUCUUAAGGGUUCGGAAGUAAAUUCGAGAGUAAAACUUUUCAAUAUUUACUUUCGAAAUAUAAUUUUUCCGACGACGAUUAAUUUUAAUUUCGAAAGGGAGAGAAUUAAUUUUCCAAACUUUUUUUUUUUUUUAUUACGUAUAAUUUUUUCACAGAGUGGAGAAAUUAUUCUCCAUGGUGGUUUUUGAAUUUCAAAUCGUAUCCUCCGAAUAAAUCUAUUUCGGAGGAUCGAAAGAAACGUCUGCUCGAUGCAUCAUUGUCACGGCUGUUUCCUCGCGUAUCUCUUUCUUUUACUUUCUUUCUCCGUUCUCCCCACGAUGACUAAGAGUUUUCGUAUCAGGUGAUCAGAUCGAAGGAUUAACACGGCGUCCGCUUAAAAACUUGGCCUGCUGAUCAUAGAUGCGGUAUUCAUGAAAACGAAAGCAUUCUGUAACCCUUCUCGAAGGUUACAUAAUGUAUCAGAAGACAACGGAACCUGGGCGAAUCGCAUUAUACAGAUCUGGAUCGUGAUCGUCUGGAAGAAAAAAAAAAAA
rnacentral:lncRNA from 1 species